UUGUGGGAAAGGUUAAAAAGAAAAAGAAUAAGAAAAAGAAAAUAGAUUUUCUCUCUCUCUUCUCAAGGCCCUGUGCGACCCUCCUCCUUUUUCUUCCUUUUUUUUUCUUUACCCAAACCCUAGCCGCCAGAGCCACCAUUGUCGGUCGCCAGUGCCACAUCUCAUCGCCAGCGUCGUCAUCGUCGUGUCCCUUCGCCAGUGCCACAUCGCCGCGUCGAUCGCCAGUGCCAUCCCCGUCGCAGCGAAAGAGCCCGCCGUUCAUCCACCGCUGCCUCGCCGGUGUCUGGACCAUGAGCCGCCACGCCCAGCCGUUCAGCUCCACUUCUGCCGCCGCACCGAGCUGUUCAGCUCUGUUUCUGCCGCUGCGCCCAGCCACAAGUCGACACAUUCGACUGACACUGCCUAUUCUUGCAAUCUUGAGUUGGGAUUAGAAUUUUGGAAGAUUUUGGGGCCUCUCUAUCAAGGAAGAGACCAUUCUUUUUGAUGGAAAAUUUUUGGAAGAUUUGUGGAGACUUUUGAGACCAAGUUGAGGUAAGGGCAAGGAUACUCGGGCGACUGACAAGAGGAAUCCAUGACAGUGCCAUAGGAACCAGAUUUCGCUUUCGCAUUUGACCCUUUAUAUUUUUUCAUGUUUUGUUUUUUUUAUUACAUUUAUAUUUCAUUAUAAUUUUUUUAUAUAAUUUAUUUCAUGUUAGAAAGGCUGCCCGGGUUGAACGAUUUAAGAUCUUGAGAUAAUGACAAAACAUUUUCUUAUAUACUUAAAGCAGUUCAAAAUCAUGAUUAUUCUAUUUUAUUUUUACUUUAUUUUCCUCAAUGCGAAUAUUUAUGCAUGCAUGUAGUAACAAUCCCCUUUUUAGUAGUACUAGGAGGUGGGGUUGUUACAGUUGGUAAUCAGAGCCCAUGUUUUGGGGUUAUGUAGAUUGACUUACUAUGUAAGUUCAGGUUGUUCCUUUUGGCCUAUAACAGAUUCUUCGUCGUCGCUAGGUAUGUCCUUUAUGAAAAGUAUUUAGGAUAAUAUGCACCCGAGUUAGUAGCAUUUAUGAUUGCAUUUGAUGUAUUUUUUUUGCUAGUAAGAAAAGUAGCUAAGGGGUGGUUGCAAACAACUGUCAGGAAAAUGGUUCGUGUUAGGGGAAGAGGCAGUCAUAGGGUUACCAGAAGGGGGCGCGUUCCCGAAGAGUAGAAUUCGUCAGUUCAAGAUCAAGAUCCUCAUGAUGAGGAUCCACAAGUUCAAGAUGCACAAGUUCAGAACCUUCCGGUACUAGAGGAUUCCUUGCCACCUAGGUACCCUUCAGGGUUAGGGUGGCAACGAACCCAGACACGAAGUAGAGCUCAGCACACAGCCACACCACCAUAGACGCAGGCCACCUCAGUCGUUCCAUCAGAGGUUACCGAUUGGGCAGUUGCUAUUGGGGAAGCAGUUACAUCAGCUGUGUUGAGUAAGGUGAAGGAUAUGUUGGAUGAACGACUGGCCUAGUUUGCCCAGUUCCAUCAGACACCACCACCACAAGAUCAGAUGCCGUAAGUCCAGACUCAGAACAUGAUCCAAAACCAAAGCAUGUCAGGUCUUUUGGUGGAAACCAAGCAUUUAUGAGAUUUCAGGAAGUACAACCCUAACACCUUUAAUGGGUCAUUAAAAGACCCUACCAAUGCAGAGUUAUGGAUAUCCACGAUUGGAACGAUCUUUCGUUAUAUGAAAUGCCCAAAAGAUCAGAAGGUGCAGUGUGCCAUUUUCAUGCUUACCGACAAAGCACAGAUCUGGUGGAAGUUGGCAGAAAGGAUAUUGGGUGUAAGAGGGGAACCAAUGACAUGGGAGCAGUUCAAGGAGUGCUUUUACUCGAAGUAUUUCUCUGCCAACCUGAGGUAAAAUAAGCAGAAGGAGUUCUUAGAGUUGAGGCAGGGACACAGGCCAGUGGAGAAGUAUGACCAGGAGUUUGACACAUUGUCCCGUUUCGCCUCGGAGUUGGUCGCCACGGAAGCUAUGAGGGCAGAAAGUUUCGUUCAAGGCCUAGAAUACAGUAUAUGAGGUAUCAUGCGAGCAUUCAAACCAACCACUCAUGUUGAGGCACUUCACUUUGCAGUUGAGGUGGACCCACAGUCAAGAGACGAGUAUUCACAGGCAUUUGGGGCGGGACCUUCCUCAAGUCAAAAGAGGAAGGCAGAUCAGAAGGCUUUCGAGCCUCACCCCCAUCAGAAGAUUCAAAGCUCAGACAAAUCGCAUCGACAUUUUAAGCAGUAGGCUGCCGAGGCAGAUAUGGUGGAAAGGAUUCGAUCGGUGUGUAGCUCGUGUGGAAGACGCCACUAGGGUCGAUGUUUAGCAGGCACC